rnacentral:rRNA from 1 species
UACGGAGGGAGCUAGCGUUGUUCGGAAUUACUGGGCGUAAAGCGCGCGUAGGCGGCUUUGUAAGUUAGAGGUGAAAGCCCGGAGCUCAACUCCGGAACUGCCUUUAAGACUGCAUCGCUUGAAUCCAGGAGAGGUGAGUGGAAUUCUGAGUGUAGAGGUGAAAUUCGUAGAUAUUGGGAAGAACACCGAUGGCGAAGGCAGCCAUCUGGACCGACACUGACGCUGAGGCGCGAAAGCGUGGGGAGCAAACAGG